UACGUAGGGACCAAGCGUUUCUCGGAUUUACUGGGCGUAAAGGGCGCGUAGGCGGCAAUUCAAGUCAGUUGUGAAAUCUCCGAGCUUAACUCGGAACGGUCAACUGAUACUGCUUUGCUAGAGUACAGAAGGGGCAAUCGGAAUUCUUGGUGUAGCGGUGAAAUGCGUAGAUAUCAAGAGGAACACCUGAGGUGAAGACGGGUUGCUGGGCUGAUACUGACGCUGAGGCGCGAAAGCUAGGGUAGCAAACGGG
rnacentral:rRNA from 1 species